rnacentral:rRNA from 1 species
UACGUAGGUGUCAAGCGUUGUCCGGAUUUACUGGGCGUAAAGAGCGCGCAGGCGGUCGAUCAAGUCGAGUGUGAAAGCCCCCGGCUCAACUGGGGAGGGUCAUUCGAUACUGAUCGACUCGAAGGCAGGAGAGGGUAGUGGAAUUCCCGGUGUAGUGGUGAAAUGCGUAGAUAUCGGGAGGAACACCAGUGGCGAAGGCGACUACCUGGCCUGUUCUUGACGCUGAGGCGCGAAAGCUAGGGGAGCAAACGUG